CAUUGAAAAAAAAAUCACAAUAAUUUUAAUAAUAUUGUGCAGAUAAUGAUUAGAACUAGAGGUGUUGGUCUUGUUUUAGGCCGAACAAUUGAAAAAGUUAUGGGGAGGAGAGACACGAGUAACGAUGAUGCCCCCAACAGCGAAGGCCUACUGCAUUUGCCCGUAGGCAGCGACAACAGAAGCGUGUUAUUGAGGAUCUUCCUAUGACUGCAGAGGAAUUAAACGAAGAGUAGCCAGAAGCACCUGUUGAAGAAGCUGUUACUGAUGUUGAGGGUUUUCCAGGCAGACCCAUGACACAUAAGUUCUUAGAGAUUUUGAAAAUCACAUUGCUUUGAGAGUCUGGAAUGAAGAGGAACGUCCUGAGUUGAAGUUAUCUUCCCAUGGAAGGAAGAUGACUAGGUUCGAGAGACUUGCUCCAGAGAUUGAAGGCCUUGUGGCUGCUAGUGGACUAAAUUCUUGGAUCGAAUGUUCCCUAGAUAUGGGCGAUCAGAGACUAAUGUUUGCUUUUGUGGAACGCAAGCAUAAGGAAACUAGUAGUUUCCAUUUGCCUGUUAGAGAGGUGACUAUCACCUUGGGUGAUGUCGCGUCGUUGUUACAUCUGCCUAUCGUAGGGGCGUUCCACAGCUUCGAGCAACUUCAUGUCGACGAUGCGGUCGAUAUGUUGGUGGAAUUACUUGAGGUCAGCGCUGCAAAGGCGAGAGCUGAGACAAUUCAGUGUCAUGGCUCUUAUGUUCGACUAUCGUGAUUGCGAGACGUAUAUCAGAUGAAGAUUGAGGCAUGUCACUAGAUUGUAGCAGCGCGAGCGUAUUCGUUGCAUCUGCUUGGAUGCACACUCUUUGCUAACAAGAGUGCCACACACGUGCACGUGGUAUUCUUGGAUGCACUGCGUGACUUGAUGCAUAGUGGGAUUUACGCUUGGGGCGCUGUUGCACUCGUGCACAUGUAUGAUAAUUUAAAUGAGGCAUCAAAGAGUACGGCGAGGCAGCUUGCAGGAUAUAUCACUCUGUUACAGUGUUGGAUCUACGAGCAUUUUUUGUCCUUUGGUUCCACCCUAGCUACCGAGGAUUAUAAUGAGAGGAGACCGCAUGCAUGUCGAUGGACCUCUAGCAAGGCACUGCCCGUGUCGACGUAUCGCAUGCGUCUGGACAGAAUGACCCCUGACGUAGUGUGCUGGAUUCUGUAUGGUGACCAUCGUUCAUUUAGAGAAUUUGAGGUCAUCACAUUUUUUGACCAUCUCAGACGGGGUCCCUUGAUGGUCAUUCACCGACUGGAGAGGGUUGUAUGACAAUUUGGAUACAUCCAGACUAUUCUGCCACAUCCUGCUGCACCUUCGGUUUCUUAUGAAGAAAUGGAUGAUAGAUGGAUGCAGUUUAGUGACUACAUUGCACUUGUAGGACAAAUCUAUGUAGUGUCUGACCAAUGUUCGUCAGAUUACAUGGAUUGAUUCUACAUGAUUUUGCACCCAUUCAUGAGUUCAGCAUGGCCAAAGGAUCCUCCUAGAGUUCUGCCAGUUCAGCAAUAUGACAUAUUUGUUGAACCAGAUGUGCAUCAACAACCAGUGGCGGCAACGACACCUGAUGAGGCAGACGCUGAUGCGCAUCAUCUUGGACAUGCAGUGUUAAUUAAUAUAUAUAUAUAUAUAUAUAUAUAUAUAUAUAUUGGUAUUUUGUGUUUCUUAUUUUCUUUUCUUUUCUAUUUUAUUACUAACAAUUGCUAUGUUUGUUUUUUUCCACUUGCUAGGAUGGUCACAGAUCGAGGCGUAGGCGGCGUACAAAUGGUCAUUGAAGUUGUUUUUUUAUUUUCCUUAUACAUGUCUUUUGUUAUUUUUUGAAUAAUUUAUUUAUUUCGUACAUUUAUAUAAGGACAGUAACAUUUGGUAGGUUUAUAAUUUUGGUGCCUUAAUUACGGACACAUUUUUUAUUAUUUGAUACAAAUUUUUGUCA